AUUGAACGCUGGCGGCAGGCCUAACACAUGCAAGUCGAGCGGAGCGGCGGACGGGUGAGUACGGACUAGGUAUCGGCAUGUGAGUGAGGGAAAAAGUCCGGAAACGGGCGCUAAUACCGCAUAAUAUCAGAGAAGCAUAGGUCGGAUUAGAGAGUUGGUGGGGUAGAGGCCUACCAAGGCGACGAUCCGUAACUGGUCUGAGAGGAUGAUCAGUCACACUGGAACUGAGACACGGUCCAGACUCCUACGGGAGUCAGCAGUGGGGAAUAUUGGACAAUGGGCGAAAGCCUGAUCCAGCCAUGCCGCGUGUGUGAAGAAGGUCUUCGGAUUGUAAAGCACUUUAAGUUGGGAGGCGUUACCAACAGAAUAAGCACCGGCUAACUUCGUGCCAGCCGCCGCGGUAAUUC
rnacentral:rRNA from 1 species